UGCUUUGACAAACAUCAAUGUGUUUCUGAGUGAGAAUUACUUGUGUGGAGCGAAUUAGCAGGCCAUGGGACCCACAUACAUAUAAUUUAGUUUUUGGGUCCCGCCUGAUCAGUCGCACCACCUUAGCAGCCUAACCCACAUAAGUUCUCAGACGCAUCACCUUGGCAGCCUAACCCACACAAGUUCUCAGUCAGAGUAAGUAUCCACAGCAAAGAACCACACAUCAAAGUGUAUGAAUUUUGCUAAUUGUUUAUCAAUAGGACAAUCCAAUAAAAUAAUGCCAUGAAUGUAUUUUGUCACUCACUUCUGUAACUACUAUCAUAAUCGGUCAAUUUCAAAAUAAAUGCAGUAACAUUCUACUAAAUAACCAUUUAAAAAUAAAUAGUAUGUCUACCCCAGCCAAGUCUUUUUUCCUAAAGAAUAAAAGAAAUAUUUCAUUACAAAUAAAUUGGGAAUCCUAAAUUAUCCAGGAUUAAAUGUAUCCAUUUGCAGUUUUACUUCUUUAGUCCAAUCUUCAAGAAGGCUAAAAAUCUUACAGAUCUGAGGCUGUACGAAGAAGCCAAAGGUUGUGAUCCAGCAGCCCCCUAAGGGUUUAUGUUAAUCCAACUAAUCCUCCAUCAAAAAAGCCAAGAUCAUGAAACUACUGCCAACAUAACAGAUGACAGGAAAGUAUAUCAGCUGUCCGCGUCAAAACAUUUCCCAUGAUUCAUAAAUGAUAAAGAUGAAAGGUACAAGUUCUGUUUGAGUUGGGGCAAAGAGCAACAUCAUAUAACAAAAUUCAGGCAUAGAUAAACAGGGUUGUAGAAGCUUAUUCUCUCCUCAUAAAAGAAGAAAUCUAGAUCAAGUUAAGCAAAUAGCAGGCUAGAAAAGACUAUUGAAACAAACCAUUUUAAGUCCACCAAGAGCAGUGAGGCAAAAUGGAUGACUGUCAUUUCUCCGAUAAAAGAAGCAUGAAGCACAAAAAGAUACCCAAAAAAGCAUAAGUGAUGAAUCUACUAUGCUAAAACUACAACCAAGAAGAACUCGGGCACAGUGUAAAAAGAAUUCAUCGUAUUGACAUUUAUGCGCUACAAUUCUUCAUGACAGACUGUGGCUCAAAUUCUAAGCCUAGUUCUCCAAUAGUCAUUUUCCCAUGAAAGAUAUUCAACAAUUGAGGCACAUGAUCCUGAUAUUUGGUCACGAAUGUAUCCAAGAAGUGCUUGUUAGAGUUUAUCACCAGAGAAGAUAAACAUAUUUUAUUUUCUUCAUUGAUCAAGCCCUUUGAAAGCAAAACUCUUAUAACUGAACAACGGGGGAUGAUCCUCCUCUCCAAACUAUACAUAAAAGCACUUGGAACAUGGGCAAUAGCUGAAGGCUGCCAACCCAUCUUGUUUACCAAAAAAUUGAAUACGCUGACUAAUUUGGUCUUAGAUGCAGUCAUAUAAAUGGGACACUUUCUAAAUGCCAACCUAAUGUCCUCAUCAGACCAACCCCACCUCCUCAAGACAUCCAAUUUGCACUCCAGAGUUGAUUGACCAAUUGAAGAAAAUACUUGCAUUGCAUGGACAAAUUCACAUUUUUGAGGAUUAAAACCCAUUUUGAUGACCUUCUUAACAUUUCCAUCAAACUUAUCCUGUCUUUGGAGGACAAUAGGGGGAUAACAUGAUAAAAUCAGUGCAAAAUUGGCCUCGGGCAUUCCGAGGUCUUUCAAGAAUGCAAGUUUCGGAGACACAGUCUUCUGCAAAUCAAAACAAAAUAACCGCGUUCUUUUUUUCCUCAAAACUUUAAUAACAUUUUCAUCAGAGAAAAACACACUUUUGAGGAAUUUAUAAUUGGGAAUGAGUACAUUCUCCAAGCUUUGACCCAAAAUGGCUGGGAUUGACGAGCAAACAUCAGCAAGUUCAGCGUCUGUGGCCCCAAUGGAAUUCAAGAACUCAAUUUUGGGUAAGAGAGACCUCUCGGGAUGGGCAAAAAGUAACUGUGGGCGCACCCUAACAAGUUUAGCAAUUUGGGAACCAUUGAAUCCACGAUUUUUCAAAAAUUGAAGGACUGAAUCUGGUUGUUUCGAAGAUUGAAGCUUUACUCUUUCGGCAACAGAUUUUGCAAUUUUUGGGGACAACCCACAUGAGUUUAUGAGGUAUGACACCGUAAAUGAGCAUUCUUUUGGCACUUUCCUUUUAAUUUGUUCGUCUUCAGUUGAGAAUAACUUAACGCCAAAAGGAUUAAACAACCUUGCGUUCUGAACAUUCAAACCCAAACCAGAAAACAAAUCCAAAUAAGAGGUGGCUAAAUCUUGCGCAAUAGACCUAUUAGUAUUUGAGAACACUUGUGCUAGUGAUAGCCUUCCAUUACUUCUAUAGAAUAAUCCAUACAUCUUCGAAAACGAAAACUUACAGAUAAUACUAAUGUAAUUGAAUUUCGUUCAGUUGAAAGAAUUCACUCACCAGCUCGUGCUCCUUACUGAAAAGGGGAAGAACAAGAACGCCUCAGCUGAUUCGUUUUAUGGUGCAUCGGGGAUUCACGAAAAAGGUCGUCGUGUUUAUCUUCACACUUCAGACCACCAAAACGACGGCAGUUCUGGGACCGCGCCGUGUUCCAAAGUAAGCGGUCCUUGGCGACAAAAUUUUAGGAUUUUAAACAAGGUGGGUUUGGUACUGGUUUUGUUUUGGCGUUUUCCGUUUUCCAAAAACAAAAUCGUGUAAAAUACGUUUGCUCACUGUUUUUUGUAUUUCGCGAGAAUGAAUCAUUCUCAUUUUUCAGCAUUUCGUAUUGCAUUUUUGAAUGGCGUUCUUAUAACUCAGAGAAAAGAAAUGGCUAGUUUUCUU
rnacentral:lncRNA from 1 species